GGAGAGUUAGGGGAUGGGAAGGGACUUGCGGCCUUAAUAAGGAGACUGAAUUUUAUUAGAGUUAAAUCUUACUUUGAGUGAAAUGGGAAGCCAUUACCAGGCUUAAAGCAGGAAAUGAAAUGAUCAGAUCUCCCCUCCAGCUAGCUCCUCUGUGAACCAUCCAUGGAGAGGCAAGGGGAAAAGCUGAACCAGAGAAGACAUCUCUGCAGUCAUCCAGGAAAGACAUAAUGGAGGUGGUGGAACGGAGAUGCUUCAGGAUAUACCUGAGCAGCAAAAUGGAUCCCUCCUCCAACCUGCUCCCAAAUAAAGAGACGUUUCUUCCAAAAGAGGUGGUUCGAAAUUCACUCCAGUUCUGAGUCAUGAAUCAGAGCUGCCUGCACAAGAAUGGUUUGAAAAACAAAGAUACUCAAAAACGUUCCCCAUGGGAAAUGCUGAGUGCAACAACCGAAUCCUGAAACUCUGCUUGCAAAUGUCACAUUCCCCGCACACGUGCUUUGAGCACAGACCCAGCACUAUGUAUGCCAGCAGCACUUAAACUCAAGCAGGCCAGGUUAAUAACCCAAACAAUCCUCCACUAAAAGCAUACUGAGGAAAACGAUGGUGAAAAUGUAUGGAAAACCACAGUGAGAGCCCUCAAGUCAAAAAGACGAGAGCCUAAAAAUAAAACCACACCUAUCAAAAUGAAGGAUGAGACACAGAUAAGAAAAUAACAAGAAACAGAUGACAAUGAUAUUUUCCGUUGCGGUGCUGCCUUUUUUUUUGUUUGGAGUUUUUGUGUUCCGAAAAGAUUUUUACACAGGGGUUCUGAACACUUCACUGUGCAUUCCACCUGUGCAAAAGAGAGCUGAAAUCAUUUGUCAAACUCUGAAACCCUUGGUUUAUAUGUUUUAGAAGACUCACCAAUCUGACUACAUUCCGAGUUCUUCGAUGAAGUGUUCCCCCAAAAGCUUGGGAAGCCAGGUUAGGGAUGGCCAGAGGGAGGUCCUUCUGCUAAUGCUUGGUUAGAGAUCAGCUUUGGAAAUUAUGGUCCUUAAAUAAAAUAGUGGAACACCUGCCACAGGACUCCUGAGUUUGAAGGUUUUCUUCCUCCCCACCACCUAGAGUUAACCAUAAGAAAGAUGCACAAAGAUAUUAACUUCUGAGCAGGUCCAGGGAGAAGUCAUUGUAUGACUAAAAUAAAAUAUUGCUUUCUUU
rnacentral:lncRNA from 1 species